rnacentral:lncRNA from 1 species
AUGCAUAUAAAAUGUUUUGAAGAGUGCCCAUAACAAAAAGAAAAUUUAUGUUAGGGGCCAGAAAAUACUUCCUUAAUCUUGAUGCAUCCUUCUAUCAUCAUAGGGACUCGCUUUAAAGAACUGGAGACAUCAGCUCAGCAAAAAAGGAUUCUGUAGUCAAACAUUUUUAAUUGUGCAUACUGGUGGGUUUUUUGUUUGUUUGCUUGUUUUUGAGGCAGUCUCACUCUGUCACCCAGGCUGAANNNNNNNNNNAGUCUCACUCUGUCACCCAGGCUGAAGUACAGUGGCACGAUCUCGGCUCACUGCAACUUUGCCUCCCAGGUUCAAGCGACUCUUCUGCCUCAGCCUCCCAAGUAGCUGGGAUUACAGGCAUGCACCGCCACACCUGGCUAAUGUUUGUAUUUUUGGUAGAGACAGGGGCUGGUCUCAAACUCCUGGCCUCAAGUGAUCCACCCGCCUUGGCCUUCCAAGGUGCUGGGAUUACAGGUGUGAGCCACUGCGCCCGGCCCAUACUGUUAAUUAACAAUAUGUAUUAGCUUAUUAAAGGUUCUGAGACUUGUGGAGUUUCUGAGUCCUCCCUCUACCCCUUAUAAUUCAAAAUUCUAGCCUUGCUUCACUGUGCAUUUUAUUUUCCUAAUUUCAGUUAAACAGAAAGUUUAAAAGAUACCAUUGCAACCAGAAUCAGGUUGCAAUGGUAUCUUAUUGCAAUCAGGUUGCCUUAUUUUCUUGCAAAAGCAAAAACAAGU